UCCCAGACUCCUACGGGAGGCAGCAGUGGGGAAUAUUGCACAAUGGGGGGAACCCUGAUGCAGCGACGCCGCGUGGGUGAAGGAGCACCUCGGUGCGUAAAGCCCUAUCGGCAGGGAAGAAACAGACGGUACCUGACUAAGAAGCCCCGGCUAACUACGUGCCAGCAGCCGCGGUAAUACGUAGGGGGCAAGCGUUAUCCGGAUUUACUGGGUGUAAAGGGAGCGCAGACGGCAGUGCAAGUCUGGAGUGAAAGCCCGGGGCCCAACCCCGGGACUGCUCUUGGAACUGCAUGGCUGGAGUACAGGAGGGGCAGGCGGAAUUCCUAGUGUAGCGGUGAAAUGCGUAGAUAUUAGGAGGAACACCGGUGGCGAAGGCGGCCUGCUGGACUGUGACUGACGUUGAGGCCCGAAGGCGUGGGGAGCAAACAGGAUUAGAUACCCCAGUA
rnacentral:rRNA from 1 species